rnacentral:rRNA from 1 species
UAGGGAAUCUUCCGCAAUGGGCGAAAGCUUGACGGAGCAACGCCGCGUGAGUGAUGAAGGUCUUCGGAUCGUAAAACUCUGUUAUUAGGGAAGAACAAAUGUGUAAGUAACUAUGCACGUCUUGACGGUACCUAAUCAGAAAGCCACGGCUAACUACGUGCCAGCAGCCGCGGUAAUACGUAGGUGGCAAGCGUUAUCCGGAAUUAUUGGGCGUAAAGCGCGCGUAGGCGGUUUUUUAAGUCUGAUGUGAAAGCCCACGGCUCAACCGUGGAGGGUCAUUGGAAACUGGAAAACUUGAGUGCAGAAGAGGAAAGUGGAAUUCCAUGUGUAGCGGUGAAAUGCGCAGAGAUAUGGAGGAACACCGGUGGCGAAAGCGGCUCUCUGGUCUGUAACUGACGCUGAGGCUCGAAAGCGUGGGGAGCGAACAGG